UACGUAGGGUGCAAGCGUUGUCCGGAAUUAUUGGGCGUAAAGAGCUCGUAGGCGGUUUGUCGCGUCUGCUGUGAAAACCCGAGGCUCAACCCCGGACUUGCGGUGGGUACGGGCAGACUAGAGUGUGGUAGGGGAGACUGGAAUUCCUGGUGUAGCGGUGGAAUGCGCAGAUAUCAGGAGGAACACCGAUGGCGAAGGCAGGUCUCUGGGCCACUACUGACGCUGAGAAGCGAAAGCAUGGGGAGCGAACAGG
rnacentral:rRNA from 1 species